rnacentral:piRNA from 1 species
UCCGUGUGUGCUGUGACAUUUUGUCCUCUGC